AAUGAGGGACAAACCGUUUUAGAGUGAGGGAGAGAGAGAAUCAGAGAAGAAGAAGAAGGCCGACUAUGGUUUCCGACCGGCCGGGCAUUUUAUUCUGGUUAUGGUGGUUGCGGAGGUGGUUACAGGCGACGGUGACAUUGAGGGUUCCGUCGGGCGCCGUCGGUGGUGGUGAUCGAUGAUGUUUGCAAUUAAUGGUGAUGAUGGCGGUGGUUCCGAGUAAGGGAUGUGGUGGUUGUCGACGGUGACCAGCGUCAGUGGUAGAUGUAGUCGGAGACGGUGAUGAUGGUUAGGGUUUAACAUGUGUCGCUUGCAAGUGUAGUAGAAAAGAACGGCGGCUGCGAUCUGUUUAUGAGUUCCGAUGAUGGUGGUUACAAUGGUGAUACUUUUCGUCGGAGAUGAUUGGAACAGAUGGCGUCAACGUUAAGAUGGUUCGGGUGUGGAAGAUCCGUCAGUGGUGGAUGUAGUCGGAGGUUUAACAUGUGUCGCUUGCAAGUGUAGUAGAAAAGAACGGCGCCUGCGAUCUGUUUAUGAGUUCAGAUGAUAGUGGUUACAACGGUGACACUUUUCGUCGGAGAUGAUUGGAAUAGAUGGCGUCAAUGUUAAGAUGGUUCGGGUGUGGAAAAUCUGGUUUCGACUCUGUCAAUAGGCGCUAUGGUUACUUCUGUCGUUUUCAUCUUAGAUAAGAAGCAGCGAAUUCUUACUGUUUGUACUCAAUUCCACCAAUGUUCAUACGUCGUGAUUGCUUAAUAUGUUUUGAAACUGUAUAAACAUUAACCAUAAAGUGAAUAUCUUGGUAUUAUUUUUUGUGUUAGUUGACUAUAUUGAAAUAAACAGAUGAAUUA
rnacentral:lncRNA from 1 species